rnacentral:lncRNA from 1 species
GAAGAAGGUGUCCACUAGUCUCCUAGCACCCUAAAGAUGUAGGAACAAGAGUCAAACAAACCUUACGAUCAACCCUAAACUCAAUCAAUAAGCAACAUAGGCUAAGGUGGAGAAAAACUCACCUAGGUGAAGAAAUCCUCUCUCAAGCUCCAAAUGGGAGUUAGAGUUCUUCAAAUCCAACCUAAAUGAAGGUCCUAAGCCCAUCAAUUAGGUUUCAAAGCCCUCAAAUCAAAAAUCCCCAAAAUAAAUCCUAAAUCCCAAAAUCUAGGGUUUCAUCUAGUAAAAUCUAGAAAAACUUGUAUUAAAUGGGAAAUACAAGCUACCAACCUCAAGAGAAGCUCCAAUCCAAGCUCUAAACUAAGUAGGGUUGGAGUUUGAUCCUCGAUAAGGCUCCAACCGUAAGCUCCAAGUCACCAAAGGUGAGAAAUGAGGGGAAGAAGAUGAUGCUCCAAGGCCUCCAAGCAAGUUCCUCUCCUUCUCCUUCUUCUUCCUCUUCUUCUCCUUCUCUUUCUCUCUCUAAAGUGAGUGUGAAGGGGAGAAAUGAGAGUGAGAGGAAGAGAAAAGAACAUAUAAGCCAACCCAAGUAACAAAAUCCACUUAGGUCCCUCAACAAUUAAAACAGUGCACAACUCAGUCUAGGCAGUUUUCGCCCAGAGGGACCGGUCUCUCCCUGCCAGGGACCGGUCUCUCGGUUCGUCCCGCAUAACCAACGUUCGGGAAUCGGUCUCUCACUGCCGGCGAUCGGUUGCCUCAAGUCUGUCGCAACACUGUUCUGAGGGGACCGGCUCUCCCACCAGGGACCGGUCUCCGAGAGUAAAAACUCUCAGGACUAAGCCAAAAUUCUAGAAAUCGAACUUUUAGGCCGGAAUACCAUCUACGACCUUCAACCAAGUGUGGAGAAGUUCGAAGUCCACAUCAAACACUCGAACCUCACAAUUCGCACAGGUCUAGUGUAUUACAUUCACCCCUCCUAAAAAGGAGUUUCGUCCGCGAAACUCGAAAGCAAACAACAUACCUCAAGACUCCAUCUGAAAAGGAUGGGGAUAACGCUCCCGCAGCGCGCUCUCUAGCUCCCACGUGGCCUCCCGCUCCCCGUGGUUGCUCUAAAGAACCUUCACAUACGGAAUGUCCC